GACGAACGCUGGCGGCGUGCCUAAUACAUGCAAGUCGAGCGAGACUCUUCGGAGUCUAGCGGCGGACGGGUGAGUAACACGUGGGCAACCUGCCUGUAAGACUGGGAUAACACCGGGAAACCGGUGCUAAUACCGGAUAAUCCUUUUCCUCUCAUGAGGAAAAGCUGAAAGUCGGUUUCGGCUGACACUUACAGAUGGGCCCGCGGCGCAUGAGCUAGUUGGUGAGGUAACGGCUCACCAAGGCGACGAUGCGUAGCCGACCUGAGAGGGUGAUCGGCCACACUGGGACUGAGACACGGCCCAGACUCCUGCGGGAGGCAGCAGUAGGGAAUCUUCCACAAUGGACGCAAGUCUGAUGGAGCAACGCCGCGUGAGCGAUGAAGGCCUUCGGGUCGUAAAGCUCUGUUGUUAGGGAAGAACAAGUACCGGAGUAACUGCCGGUACCUUGACGGUACCUAACCAGAAAGCCACGGCUAACUACGUGCCAGCCGCCGCAGUAAAAC
rnacentral:rRNA from 1 species